AUUGAACGCUGGCGGCAGGCUUAACACAUGCAAGUCGAGCGGAGCGAGGGUGCUUGCACCUUAGCUUAGCGGCGGACGGGUGAGUAAUGCUUAGGAAUCUGCCUAUUAGUGGGGGACAACAUUCCGAAAGGAAUGCUAAUACCGCAUACGCCCUACGGGGGAAAGCAGGGGAUCUUCGGACCUUGCGCUAAUAGAUGAGCCUAAGUCGGAUUAGCUAGUUGGUGGGGCAAAGGCCUACCAAGGCGACGAUCUGUAGCGGGUCUGAGAGGAUGAUCCGCCACACUGGGACUGAGACACGGCCCAGACCCCUACGGGAGGCAGCAGUGGGGAAUAUUGGACAAUGGGCGGAAGCCUGAUCCAGCCAUGCCGCGUGUGUGAAGAAGGCCUUUUGGUUGUAAAGCACUUUAAGCGAGGAGGAGGCUCUUAAGGUUAAUACCCUUGAUGAGUGGACGUUACUCGCAGAAUAAGCACCGGCUAACUCUGUGCCAGCCGCCGCCGUAAGAC
rnacentral:rRNA from 1 species